UUGAAACGCAAUUCUAAACGACCAUUGUCACCAACAUCACGAUGAGUCGUGACAAUUAACAGUUUAGAUCAACAUUAAAAAGAUUUACUCUUCGAGCUCGUGUAACGAAUAAUCUAACGUGCGAACAUGGAACAAUUCGUGUGGUGAUGGAAGAGUAUUUUCUGUUGAUCUCAUUGAUGAAACUCACGAGAUACGGGCUACUGCUUUCAAUGAAUUGGUUGAUAAAUUCUAUGAUUUGUUGGA